CAACUCAUUAUUUAUUCAAAACCAAUAAAUCCCAAUGAUUGAAGAUCUAAAUUCGAUCUAACUCUAGUUCAAAAAAAAUUCGAUCUAACUCGAAACUUCUAAAACCAUUUUUAUAUCCAAAACUACUCACGACCCGAUUUAACCCGGCCCAAAACUAUGGUGCCCGAAUUAACAUCAUGUCAAAUGGUUUCGUUUUUAUUUCAUACCUAACUAUUCAAUUUUAUGCAGCAACACUCCUUCUCUUCUUUCUCCUCCAUUGAAGCGUACUCUAAAAUCUGCAUUGAAGCAUCUUCUGAGCUUUCUCUCCACCAUUGAUAUAUCUUCUGAGCAAGCAGCCAACCACAAGCAGCAGCUAGCUGCCACCAACAGGCAAUCGCCAUCAGCACCAGCUAGCUUCUAGCAGUAGGCAGUCGGAACAAUCCCUUCACAUCAAUCAGGAAUAUGAUUGAUGUGAAGGGAUUGUAGAGUACAGAUAACCUGGAAUGAUUUUCAUAUUUACCCUAAAAGCAAUUAAAGAUGCCACACAAUAUUGCCACCAAGGGAGGAAGAGGCUAUCAGCCUAUUUUGCUAUAGCAAGAAGAUGAAUAAUGUAAUCAAAAGAAAGAAGUUGCAGUUUGUGAAGAGUUCUUGAAAACAUUUGACAGUCAUUUGAACUGGCAGGAGACUUUAAUGAUACUUGAGUUACUCACAUUCUGUUUGUAUCACUAGCACAUUUUUUCUCUGAAUAUGAUUAGAUUUGUGUUCUAAUUUGAUUUUAAGAAGUGCCUACUAAUGGCCUGCUGCUACCUUGCUGUACUACUGCUACCCGCCUUCGCGCCUUCUACAUUGUGCUGCUGCUGCACAUUAUUAUUGUCUUUUUUUUCCUAUUUUUUUUUGCAUAGCAGCCAGUUUUUUGUAAUUCUUUUUAUUUUUAAAUUAUUUGUAUGGUAUAAUUAACAUCAAAUUCUACUUGUAUGAAAAUAGUAACUUUUACAUAUAUAUUCUAUUUUCUA